UUGACCUCGAAUCAGGUAGGAAGACCCGCUGAACUUAAGCAUAUCAAUAAGCGGAGUAGUAACGGCGAGUGAAGCGGUAAUAGCUCAAAUUUGAAAUCUGGCUCCCCACGGAGUCCGAGUUGUAAUUUGUAGAAGAUGCUUUGGAUGUGCGGUCCGGUCUAAGUUCCUUGGAACAGGACGUCGUAGAGGGUGAGAGCCCCGUGUGCGGCCGGGACGCACGUCCGUGUAAAGCUCUUUCGACGAGUCGAGUUGUUUGGGAAUGCAGCUCAAAAUGGGUGGUAAAUUUCAUCUAAAGCUAAAUAUGGGCCAGAGACCGAUAGCGCACAAGUAGAGUGAUCGAAAGAUGAAAAGUACUUUGGAAAGAGAGUUAAACAGUACGUGAAAUUGUUGAAAGGGAAGCGCUUGCAACCAGACUUGGGCGUCGCCGAUCAUCCAAAGUUUUCUUUGGUGCACUCGGCGAGGGCACAGGCCAGCAUCGGUUGGGGUGGUGGGAGAAAGAUCGUAGGAAUGUAGCUCCUUUCGGGGAGUGUUAUAGCCUACGGUGCAAUACCGCCUACGCCGACCGAGGACCGCGCUUCGGCUAGGAUGCUGGCGUAAUGGUUGUAAGCGACCCGUCUUGAAACACGGACCAAGGAGUCUAACAGCUAUGCGAGUGUUUGGGUGCAAAACCCAUCCGCGCAAUGAAAGUGAACGCAGGUGAGAACCCUUCUCUUGGGGAGGGGGCAUCAUCGACCGAUCCUGAUGUCUUCGGAUGGAUUUGAGUAUGAGCAUGGCUGUUGGGACCCGAAAGAUGGUGAACUAUGCCUGAAUAGGGUGAAGCCAGAGGAAACUCUGGUGGAGGCUCGCAGCGGUUCUGACGUGCAAAUCGAUCGUCAAAUUUGGGUAUAGGGGCGAAAGACUAAUCGAACCAUCUAGUAGCUGGUUCCUGCCGAAGUUUCCCUCACAAUG
rnacentral:rRNA from 1 species